rnacentral:Y_RNA from 1 species
UGCUGGUCUGAUGGUAAUAUGUUAUCAGAACUUAUUAACAUUAGUGUCACUAAAGUUGGUAUACAACCCCCAGCUGCUAAAUUGGACUGGCUUUGA